rnacentral:rRNA from 1 species
AAUCAACGCUGGCGGCGUGCCUAACACAUGCAAGUCGAACGCGAAAGGGGAGCAAUCCCUGAUUAGAGUGGCAAACGGGUGAGUAACACGUGGGUGACCUGCCUUCGAGUGGGGGAUAACCUUCCGAAAGGAGGGCUAAUACCGCAUGACAUACCGUGUUUGGAUACACGGAUAUCAAAGCCGGGGAUCGCAAGACCUGGCGCUUGAAGAGGGGCUCGCGUCCGAUUAGCUAGUUGGGGGGUAACGGCUCACCAAGGCUCCGAUCGGUAUCCGGCCUGAGAGGGCGGACGGACACACUGGAACUGAGACACGGUCCAGACUCCUACGGGAGGCAGCAGUGGGGAAUUGUUCGCAAUGGGCGAAAGCCUGACGACGCAACGCCGCGUGGAGGAUGAAG